UCCCACACAGAGUCUCCCCGAACUCUGGGGUCUCUCAGGACCCCAUCAUGGUGUGGACUGGGCUCACUUUCUCUCCUCACAUGGGGAGGACAGGGCUUGGGCCAGCCUGUGAUGGCCAGGAUGUGGGUGGUAAGCAGAGGCUCCAUGGCCUCCUCGUCCCCCGAGAAGGACUCAGGUGAGGCGCGGGCCAGUCUGUAAGAACUCCAGGUCUCUCGGGCCUUGAGCCUCCCUGGGGGUGCAGGUGCUGCUCCGGGCCAGGUCCCCUGCCACACCCAGCAGCUUGCCCGCCAUCUGCCAGGCCCUUCACGUGGGGUUUGGAGGUCACCACUGGCCAAUCCCUCAUGCUCCUGUGCUCUAGCCACACAUCGGGGUGGCCACAGCUCUAGGCUGAGCACUUCUGGCCCCACAUCCAUAGGCUGCACUAUACUGCCUCCUAUCCCCAGGUGCCCCCAGCACCACCCCGCAGUGCCGGGCCUGUCCCCUGCUGUCCUAGGACUGCAGCUGCCCUGUGGCUGCAGAGCUCCCUCCUGUCACCUGUGCUACCAGGGGCCAGGUACCGCUCUGCUCCCGGGGCCAGGCUGGGGCCCCGCUCUGCUCAUCCCGGCUUCACUCUGCAGGCUGGGCCUCCUGCCCCCGUGUGCCCGGCCGCCCUCUUCACCCGGGGCAGGUGGUGGGGCAGCCCUUGGGCUGGGCUCAGGAGCCUGUGGUUACUCCUGCUGCCUGCCUGUGUUCAGGCUGGGCUUUAGCCAUUAGGAGCCCAGGACCUUGGGCUGUGGCAGAAGGAGGCUGCCAUGGACUGGCUGCAGGAUGCAGUUCUAGGCCGCAGUUGGCUGGAGCCCUUGAAACCAGGAAGCAAAGGCACAAGUCAGCUCCCUGAGCUUCUCACACUGAGCUGGAGUGCCUGGCCCACCAGACGCACUGUGUGGGGAUUGUGACCUCCAGCUCUGGGCGCUGCACAGGCUGAGAGCGGUGAGGCUGACCUGCACGCUGUCCAGGUCUCCUAAGGGCCAGCUGUCCCCGUAGGACAUCAGAGAGGGCCACCAUGAGUUUCCAACACAGGCUGGCUGUGGAGGUGGGAGGUCCAGCACCUCAUCGGGAGCUGUGGACUGCAGUCAGCCUCACCACCCAUCUGCCAUCCAGACACCAGGAAGACCUGGAAGGGCCACACAGCUCCGGGGCCAUGGUGCACUCAUGUAGCUUCCCACAGAGCCAAAACCUUGCGAUUCUUGCAAGACUACACUGUCCUUUCUGGCCUCGGUGGUCACUGUCACCUGGCUGCCUCUCAGAUCUCUAUACACACACCCAGUGGCUCCUGAAGAUGCCCUCUUGUGGGUCUCUAGCUCCAUGAAGCCACUGGAAGGUUUAUCUCCCAACCUUGGAUGAUCUACCCACCAACGACAAAGGCAUGCAGUGAUGGGCUGGCCCUCUGUCACACGGUGGCCUUGGCAGCCACCUCAUCUCAGGCCCCAGAAACCCAGGCAUUGUCCUGGAUACGACCUUCUUACAACAGUGAGCCUGGUCAAGUCUACCUCUGAAUUUCAUUUCCAGUCUUCACGUCUACGCCCCCACUGUCCGCCCCUUGUCUCCUCCCGGGCUGACAUUCUCCUUACUGGUCUGCUCUCACUUUAAUCCCCUGCAGCCUGUCCCUAUCCCGCAGCCCACGCUUCAUCUCUUAGACAUGCAGAGCAGACUGGGCCAAGUGGCACAGUGGUAGUGCACUUGCCCACCUGGCGCACAGCCCUGGGUUCCUCGCCCAGUACGACCAAUACCAGCCAUCAAUCAGCCACCACCUAACCAACCAAACACCUAAGCAAGC